CAUUUGGUUGGCUAAGCUGAGGGAAAGAGGGGCCCAUGACUCUAACGUGAGACAAAACCAGCUCCCAACCAAACCCUAUCCAUCCGUCCUUCUCUCCCCUCGCGUCCCCCAUCCCAGCCGCCGCGCGCCUCUCCUCCUCCCCGCCGCUGCGCGCCUCUCCUCCUCCCAGCCGCCGUCGCUUUUCUCUCCUCUGGCAUGCUUCCUCCCUAGGCUCAGCCGGAGGAGCACGACGUGCCGCGCGCUCAGCAGGAGACAGUCUCCAGGGGCAGUUCCUCAGUGAAGUGGAGCGUGGGCAGUCCGAUCCUCAGGCCGCCGAGGUGGAUGAUGCGGCGCCGUCUUCCUCAACGGAGAGGAUCUCGAGCCGCAACCGCCAAGCUGCACCAGAGGACGGGCCGACGCUGCACCGCGGGAGAGUUGUUAUUUGGGUGAUUCGCUUCUGCUAGUGAGGAAGAUGGGAAGAGCAAGAAGAAGGGGUGAGGGAGGUGGAAGAGGAGACAAUGGAUGAACACAGAUCUGCUCCAACAGAAGUAAAAUACAUUCAAUCGGGAAUAAUCAUGUUGGAGAAUGUGGUUGGUUGGUAUCACUCGCACCCUGGUUAUGGAUGUUGGCUGUCAGACAUUGAUGUUUCAACUCAGAUGCUUAAUCAGCAGUAUACCGAGCCAUUCUUAGCUGUUGCGAUAAACCCUACAAGGAUUAUUUCUGAUGUGAAGUGGAAAUUGGAGCUUUUAGGGCAUACCCAAAAGAUUACAAGCCACCGGAUGAGGCAGUGUCCAAGUAUCAGACGAUACCACUCAACAAGAUAGAAGAUUUUGGUGUUCACUGCAAACUGUACUAUUCUCUGGAUAUAACUUAUUUCAAGUCAUCCUUGGACUCUCCUCCUUGAGUUACUCUGGAAUAAGCGCUCAACAGGAGAAGUGUAGGACGCCACUGUAGUUGACCUCUCACCUGGACUCCAUCCGACCUCGCCGCAAGGGCCAAGGGGCCUCUCGUAGGUUCUUAGACCACUAAAUAUGUCAGCAUCAAAUGGGAAGUGGAUCAAUGGGGUCCAGUUCUCAUCACUAUUAUGGUGCCGGCACAAACAGGCACAACCCUUGGCCUAUGUUGAGUGCUUUGGUCAGUUCACAUGUGACAGAGAGCAAUUCCCGGAGCAUUAGCUCAGGCCAGAUUUAGGAGUGGUAGAUGAAGCCGAACCUGUCCUCGCUGACCUUCGCAAAUGGCUCUGUCAAGCUCCUCCAGUCCAAAUACCCUCAGCCACACCUCACCCGUCAACUCUGAGGUUCCGGAACAAUCACUUGGCGCAUGAUAUAUGGAAUGAACGAUAGUUUUGGGUGUCUUUACUUGUGAGUAUCAGGCAUCAGUAGGCGUAAAUCCAACCAAAGAAUCAUCAGAAUUGCUUAUCUAAUUCCCCAACAGUUAUCAGAGACAUUGAAGAGAUUUGAUGCAAACAUUUUUCACCAUCCAAGUUUACAAUGCUGAGCCGGUGAAAACAGUGGAGCGAUGAUACACAACAGGGAUGUAGAUGAGGUUCACAUGAAGUAUUUUGAGAUUGAGCAAACGUAUGAAUUUAUAAGGCCAGGAUUUCUCUGGU